rnacentral:misc_RNA from 1 species
AACGCACAUUGCGCCUUAUGGUAUUCCAUACGGCAUGCCUGUCUGAGCGUCAGCUCCCCCCCACUCAAGCUCUUUUGCUUGGAUUAUUUUGGAUAAGCAGCUGUACCGGUUGCUGUUCAUAAAUUCAUAGGCAGUAUGGUUUUCUUUCCAGGCUGAGCGUGAUAAAUUAUACUUAUACCAUUCAAUAUUGGAGGCAUCGUACUCGCCCUUAACCCACAAUAACUUAUAUUUAGGUGACCUCAGAUCAGGUACGGAUACCCGCUGAACUUAA